CAGAUUUGCGCAUGGACGAAGUCUGACGCAGCGACCCCGCGUGAGGGAUGAAGGCCUUCGGGUNCNAAACCUCUUUUAUUGGUGAAGAGUAAGGACGGUAACCNGUGAAUAAGCCUCGGCUAACUACGUGCCAGCAGCCGCGGUAAUACGUAGGAGGCGAGCGUUAUCCGGAUUUACUGGGCGUAAAGCGCGUGUAGGCGGCUUUUUAAGUUGGNNGUGAAAGGUUCCGGCUCAACUGGGAUUCGCCUGNCAAUACUGAAGAGCUUGAGGGCACCAGAGGAAAGUGGAACUCGCGGUGUAGCGGUGAAAUGUGUAGAUAUCGCGAGGAACACCAGUGGCGAAGGCGGCUUUCUGGGGUGUUCCUGACGCUGAGGCGCGAAAGCGUGGGGAGCGAANCGGAUUAGAUACCCGNGUAGUCCACGCCCUAAACGGUGGAUACUUGGUAUGGGGGGUAUCGACCCCCUCCGUGCCGAAGCUAACGCUUUAAGUAUCCCGCCUGGGAACUACGGUCGCAAGACUAAAACUCAAAAAAAUUGACGGA
rnacentral:rRNA from 1 species